rnacentral:lncRNA from 1 species
UCUCAUUCAUUAGGCAAGUGGGAAACAAGGAAUUGAAUUAUCAAGUGAGUGGGGCGACUCUCUAAUUCACAGAUAAAGUGAGUCAGGAAUCUUGACCCCGUGCUUAGGUCGGGGCGGGAUGACCCGGGGAAGGCCACGUCCCUCCCCUUAUUAGAAAACAAAGAACAUAGCUAUGAGUUGACCAGAUAUAUUAGCUGAAGAUGGAACAGGCUUCCCGCAUCAAAAACAUCAACAAGAUGAUCAGCUUGCCUCAAUAAAGACACAUGGUACAGUAUGGUAAUGCGACCCCCCUCUUCAGGAACACAAGUUCGAAACAAGGAAGGGGGCGUGUAGUGAGGGUCUCACCGAUAGCUGGAUUGAAGAAAAGCACAAAACAAGGUAGCUCUAGCCGAACCGAUAGCUGGAUUGAAUUCUAACGAUCGAAGAACCCUGCCGCUUGGGUUGUUGAAAGUGAGAAUCCUUGAAAUUGCUUAUGAUAUGGAAUAUUUGAUUGAGACUACGCCGCUCCUCUUGACGACUCUACUUCGUAACCUAGAUAUUCUCAGUUUCUCCCAAGCGGGAAAUAAGGGAAUAUGGAAUAUUGGAAUUCACUACUGAACUGUUCUUCACUCAACGCCUCUUCCUUGAACAUGGUUAGCUUCGCUUUCAUCUACCUUCCCGUCGCGGGCUAAGUACUAACUAAGGUGAUUUUACUCUCCCUUGAGUAGAGAUAAUUAGAACUUAGCUUUCAAUUGAUCUUCCCCACUGACAGACUGAAACUGGCCUAAAAGCAGCCGUUCUCAUUCCCUUCAAAUCAGUGGCUUCCUAGCCCAUUCAUUACCUUCCUUUCCGUUAACUAUUGAGUCGAUUUCAUCUCCUUCGACAAAACAGCCAACCUUUAUAUACGAAAGACUUACCCUUAGAUGCAUUUUAACCCUGAGCAAGGGACAAGCCAAGACUUGUCUGAUCGAAUGCAAUAAGCAAAUGAAUUGUGUGCGUCAUCCAUAACGAAAUCGACAUUCUUCUUUCAUUUCAUCAACAAAUGAAUGAUGGAUUGUUAUGUGCGCGCCGUGCCCCCCUGACUUUGGUUGGAGUUCUUCGCUUCGCUAGUGACAGUUGUGUUAUUCCUUCACUGAAGAAGCCCUCGGACUGUGCUGCUGGCUGAGCCGCUUCUCUUCUCAUUGUGUCCGGUAGUGCCCAACGGGCUAUUCAAUUACUUACUGACCUGUCUCAGUCGUUGAAACCUCGAUUCGAUACCUACAAUGAAUUGCGAGGCUAGGCUUAGGUUCUGUUUUGGACAGUUAGGCUCUGCAAAGUGUAGAGGAGAAAAAGCAUAAUCCUAAGUAUGGGGAAUACUCGAGACAAGGGGCUGCUACCCUUGCUUUCUUUACUCGUUCGUUGAGCUCUUAGCUUUGCUUCUGUCGGCUGGAUUGGUUAUGCUAUGCUUUUUGUCUACUAUAGUAUGCUAGAGCUUGCAGGCCGAGCCUCCUCAUUCUGCUAUGCCCGGUGGUCUAAAGCACGGUUCAACUGCGGUGUGUAAUGUGAUGUCUGAAUUGCCCAUUAAGGGCUGACUCCGCCAGGCAAAGGCAAGAGGACCACUACUGUGAUGUAACUGAUGAUCAGUGGACUCUUCUUCCUCUACUACUGAGACUGACCGACCUGCUAAGAGGGUGGUAGAGGCAUUUUAAAGGAUAUCGGGGGAAAGAGAAAUAGAACCUAGAAGGAAAGGGAAGAGCUCUUCCUUAUUAUAUAUAUAAGAGGCAUGAUUCCUGCUUAAAAAGAGAAGGGGAAUUCCUAAUUCUUACACGGAUGAGACUGAUCACACCUGAAAAGUGAAAAAUUCUAACACCAAUCAUUUGAGUCUUACACCAAGAAUGGAUAAGCGGAUGAGUUUUCUAG